ACGAUUUGGGAUUUGCCGUUCUCCACAAGCCUCGAUUUCGAUCGCGUUUGUCCGUGACCGAGGACCAAGACUUUCGAGACGAAAUCCCAGGAAUGUAAGUCGUGUCUCGAACCCCGCGGGAGUAAUUCUCAUCGAAAUUUCACGGUACCCGCGAUAAAAACGGCGAGAAAAGUGCGCGGUAACGUAUCGGGUCGCCGAUGAAGAGUUACAAGGCGGCUAUUGCAACGAGAAAAGGAUUGCAUUAGCCGGCCAUGCCCUGGGACUGGGCAGCUAAAGGCCAGAAAUAGACCCGGUUCCAUGUAUUCACGCGGCUCGAACAUCGGUUCUACGUCCAUGUGGCCUCUCUCGUGUUCUCUAUUUACGGGGCUUGCCGUGACUACCAUGUGGUCGCCAGCUUUAUUUAAAUCGACAAAAUAUUUCGAGCCGUUCCCAGGCCUCGUUCGUCUCUCCCGCAGAGUUCUCCACACGUAAGCUAGAGAUUUUCUUAUUGCAGAUGUUACGGCUAGUCGGUGUGAAACGAGGAAAAAGUGCUCUGAUAUCGGCUGCAGUGCAACGCGCGCGAAUAGGAAAUGAAUCAGUUUGAACGAGUGCACGGAUCGGGUUGACGGAAGGGAGGAAGAAAGACGAACUGGGAGGGAGAAAUUGGAAGGAGAUGGCACAUUCAACGAAGUCAAAAAUAGGACGUACGCACGGUCGCUACCAUAUUUCCAUAAAUGAGUUCUCCGGUUACAGGGUCUAUUUCCGGUCCGGCGAUGGCAACCGAAGUCGCAGCCAAGUAGAAGCGAUCGCGAAGAUACUUCGAAGAUCCUCGAUCACGAGCCACAGCAGAUUUAAGACAUUUAACUCGCGCGAAAACAGGAAGAUUGCGAGGACUGUGAUUACGUGGGAGGCUUGGAAAGUGUAGUGAGGAUGAGUGACCUUUACGAAGAUGACCGAUUUCUGGAAUGGAUCGAUAACGGCGAAACUUGAUUUUCCAAGGAAAAUUACCAGACAUCCAGCUACUCCUAGUCGCAUGUCCCGGACAGAGGAAGCAUCUGGCUCUUCGUAGAGUCUGCAUUUGCUCAAGGACGUCAUACAAGUGCUCGGUAAGCACACCGGGGCUCCUAUGAGGUUUUAAUCGUACACAGUCAUCGAGAAUUCUCGGGUCACGUUUGCCAGGUUACUAGAAAUUAGCCCUCGCUAAGGUGGAUCGAACGCGUUUAGGGAGAACAAGGUUCAAAGAGCUGGUCUUACUAGCAAAAGAUAAUUCUGUACUCCAACAUCCAGAGAAUCAUAAAUAUACACGACUUUAUAAAAGAUGUCCUGACUUUUCUGUAAUUCCAAAGUUAUGCUAUUAAAAGGCGAGGUUGUUCCAAGUAUCUCUAACGUUUCAACCAUUUCAUUCUGGUCGUUUCCAGAAACAGUAUAAUAAAAAUAUUAGUCUUGAAAGAGCAACAAUGUAUAACAC